UGGAGAAUUUUGGACAAUGGGGGCAACCCUGAUCCGGCAAUGCCGCGUGAGUGAAGAAGGCCUUCGGGUUGUAAAGCUCUUUUGUCAGGGAAGAAACGGUGGUGGCGAAUAACUACUACUAAUGACGGUACCUGAAGAAUAAGCACCGGCUAACUACGUGCCAGCAGCCGCGGUAAUACGUAGGGUGCAAGCGUUAAUCGGAAUUACUGGGCGUAAAGCGUGCGCAGGCGGUUGUGUAAGUCAGAUGUGAAAUCCCCGGGCUCAACCUGGGAAUUGCAUUUGAGACUGCACGGCUAGAGUGUGUCAGAGGGGGGUAGAAUUCCACGUGUAGCAGUGAAAUGCGUAGAUAUGUGGAGGAAUACCGAUGGCGAAGGCAGCCCCCUGGGAUAACACUGACGCUCAUGCACGAAAGCGUGGGGAGCAAACAGGAUUAGAUACCCCCGUAGUCCCUGAGCGGGCUGGCAAGGCGCAU
rnacentral:rRNA from 1 species